rnacentral:lncRNA from 1 species
GGUGGUUCUAUAUCAGAGACCAUAUGUCAUCAUGGAAUCAUCCCAGAAUUUUCCAUAAAGAAAAUAUAUGGCUCACAUGAAGUCUGAGUUCUUUGGUUUGUAUUGCUGAUGGGGCCACAUUUUUAAUUUUUUUAUUUUCGAAGCUAUUGAUGUUCUCCUUUUGGAGGAGAAUGGAGAUGGCAUUGAUCUGGCAUGAUCAAUUUUUCACAACCCCUAGGUGUGAGAGAGUUUUUAGAUGUUUCCUGUUUGGGCUUUGAUCUGUAGAGAAAGGCUAUUUAUAAACCAGACUUCAGCAGCAACCUUGUGAGGUCUCCUUUGUCCCUUUCAUGUGAACUUCGAUGACUUCAUAUUAGUCCCUAACCUCCAUUUACUGAAGUACUUGGCCGAGCCAUCUGACUCAUCACCCUGUACAAGGACAGUGUGACUCACACCAAUAAGCCGGAAGCAGGCCUGAAUUGAGGCAAGGCCAGAGUCAGGACACAACUAAUAGAUGCUGGAAGUGUUGACGGAAACCACUCUUGCAGAGGAACAAUGCGGGCUGAGCUUCAGUUGCCGGCUAUGACAUCAUGACCGAGAGGUGAGCACUCCCUUGCAUCAGAUAUUUUAAUUGUUUGCUUUAUAAUUUUCUUUCAAAAAUCCUGUUAACUGCUCAUGCUUAGAUGCUAGCAGUUCAAUGAUACUUGUUUGAAGAAUUCUGCCAGGAUUAGGGUUAUAAUCUCAAAUCCCCUUCCUUGCAUUCUUUCUUAGUCCCUCCCUCCCUCCCUCCCUCCCUCCCUCUUUCUCUCUCUUCCUCCCUCCCUUUUUUCUUGCCUCCCUUCUUGCUUCUUUCUUUCCAUCAGGGUGUCACAGUGAACGAGCUUGAGUUUGAGUCAGGCAGUUAGUUAUUAUCUAGAAUCUUGAUUGACUUGGCCAUUUUCUUCUGAAUCACUUUAACCUCUCUGAGGCUCGGUUUCCUACCUGUUAAAAGGCAGAUAAUACAUCACAGUGUUGUAGGGAGGCUUAAGUAAUGUCUUAUGGAUAGCUACUAUUUAUUAAACACCAAAUAGAUGCAUUAUCUAAAGUAGUCUUCACAGUAACUUUUCAAGAAAAGUGUGUGGUACAUGGUGGGUGACAUAAAUAACAAGGUGGGGAUCAUCAUACCUUUCACCUCCACAGUUGCUGCUACCAAAGUGAAACAUGUCAGUCACUCACAUAGUCAUUCAACAUGCAUUCCUUGAGAAACUUCUAUGUACCAGGUAAUGUAGAUUACUCAAGGGAAAAAUGAAAGGCCAAGAAUAAGGAAAAAUUACUAACUUUGAAGGGUUAUAAUUAGCAGAGAUUAGAAAUAAACACAAUCAAAACUGUGAAGAGUCCUGUGAGAAUAAGAAAUGCAGACUGGGUGUGGUAGGAUGGGCCCUGGAUUCCAAUUUGGGAAGUUGAAAGAGGGUUCCCUGCAGGAAAAAUCACACAUUCACACUGAAAAAGGAAGGAUAAAUAAAUGGGAAUUAGAGGUUAGAGUGUGUUCUAGAGAACUGUAUUUGCAAAAAGGUAUUGGGUUGAGAGGGGCUUCGACUCAGGAGAGAAAUCAAAAGUAGUUCUUUCUGGAAUUUGAAGCGGUGAAUGAUGAGAGUAGAAGCUAGUGAUACGCAGGACUUCCUGGUCACAGGAGGGUUAGGGACUCGUCUCAGGGAUGCCCUGUAGCUGUUACUGAGUUCUCAGUCUCUGUCCCUUAUCUUAGUUUGGGGACAAGAGCCCUACUGUGCUGCUGACCACCUGAACCUCUGAUAUGAGUGGGCAGAGGGUGAUGUGGCUAACCCCACCCUUGUGUAAUCUCUUGCCUGUGUUCUUGGUUCUGAGAGACAAAGGCGUCUCUUGCUAGUUACGGGGCUGGAUGCUGUGGGUCAGUUGGCUCUCUCUAUCGUCCCUACCCUAAUCUUGAGAAGUACUGAGCUAUGGCUCCACGAGGUUCUCAUUCAGGCUCCUUGUAGCCAGCACUGUACAGUCAGGAGUGCCCUCAGAGCAAGCUUCAGAAUCUGUCAGCUCUCACACCACAUGGCCUUCGGGAAUCUCCAUGCCAUUAGAAAACCUGAGCAAGCCAGACUCUGUGACGUGAUAGCCUAAUUACCAUUUCCCUUUUUUUUGGGAGUGGAGAGAGAAAUGACAUAUAGAUCAAUGAGUGAGGUGGAAGACUGAUUCAUUUAUUGACUCACAGAGAGUUUUUCCUUGAGCCAGUGCAACAGAAAGGACCAUCCUUGUAGCUGGGUCUGCCCUGGAGUGUUGAGAAGUCUGAACUGUGCCCAAGGCUCAGAGACAGAAAAACAAAGAGGAUGUUUAGCAACACGUCCCUCCAUGCUCACCUUGCUCUUGUGCAGGCAGUCCAGAGAUAAUUAACUCUGAGGAAGGUGACCCUAUAUUCAUUGUCCAUGUGCAGACAUUUUAAGAGUGAAAGGGGCUGCUUUUAAUUGGUAUAUUGGGAUGCCAGGCAUAAACGGGGAAUAUUGUAGGCCAACCAGACAUAUGGUUGUCCUAACCACAUGAUUACCUAGUAGUCAUUGGCCUGAUGACUACUCCCUAGUUGGUGCUCUCUGUGCUUAAGGAGAGAUCCUAGGGCCAAGAUGUUUCUGGAUCUUUUUUCUGCAUCUAUUUUUUUUUUCUACAUUCUCAAAGGCAGUUUUUGGAACAUUCUUCAUUUUUUUGAGAUCCUUAUGUUUCUGAGAGGUCAGUGUUAGCCAAUUUAAUCCAAGACAACUGAUUUCUAUUCAAAGCAGAGGAAGGGAGUGGUUAAAAUGGACAGUUUGAAGGGAAGAUAAUUUCGAAAAGGACAACUUCAGCUGUAUCUUCAGGCUCCUUAUAAUCCUUUGGUAAUUAGAAUGUGCAGGCUGAGACAUCAAUUUUAAAAUCAUCUUACCCAUAAAUCAUCUAUCACACAUUAUUAGCUCGGAUGACACAAGUCUACAUGAGUGGGGAUCAUUAUUUUUGUUAUUAUUGUUUGUCCAGAGGGGUGACAAGGAAAAAUAUACAUCACACUCACCUCCCAGACAAGAGUUAAGCAGGUGCUUUUUUGAUUUAUAAGGUGUUUCCUUCUAAACAUAUUUCUUAGUAAAACAAUUUUUAAAAUGUCAUUUUCCCAUGAAGCCAACACCAUCACUGAUGUAGUAUUUUCCUGCACCUCAAAUUAAGCAGGCCGUGGGAGAAUUUGGUGACCAAGUGUCACUGUCACUUAGCAUUUCUCUCUCCAUUACAGUGUAAUAUAAUAUAGUGUAGUAUCGUAUCGUAUCAUAUCAUAUCAUAACAUUUUUAGCAUUCUGUAGCAGAGACUCUCAGUUUAGGGUGGUUUUGCUAUCAGUGGACUUUGAUCAUGUUCCACACGGUUUUGCUCGCUCCCACAGGGGUGGGUGCUAUUUGCAUCUAGUUCUUAGGAGCCAGUGAUAUUGCUAAACAUAUUAGAAAGACACAGGACAGCUCCCCUCGCAAACAAAUUAGUUACCUGGACAUAAAUGUCAAUAAUGCUGAACUUGAGAAACUCCUCUGUAACAUCUUAAUCCUUAAUUUAUUCAUCCAACCAUUAUUUACUGAGAACCCACUAUGUUCCAGUCGUUAGAAAGCUGAGGAUAUUGGGGUGAACAAAACUGGAGAAAAAGUUUUCACUUUUGUUUUUCUUUGGAUUCUAAUAGGAGGAGCAGGUAAGAAAGAAGAUAAAUAACUAAAAUAUUGAGCAUAUCAGAAAGUUAUGUGUAGAAGGCAAAAUAAAAAAUAUAGCUGAGCAGUGGGGAGGGAAUGUCAGUAGAGAACAGUGAGAUUGAAGGCUGAGGUCACUAGCCAAGGUAAGUGCAUUUCUCACUGAUUGCAGAUGAAGGAUCUGAGUGAAGGACUGAGAGAUAAGGCUAGGACUCCAGGUUGGAAGUUUCUGACUCUUUGGUGAUCUAAAAUGUUAUUUCCACUAGGCUGUUUUAUAUAUUAUUGCCAAAAGCCAGGGUUGUCCUUGCUUCCUUUUGAUGAAUUUCCUCUUUCUUAACUCACUGAUAACCACCUCCAGCCCUACCCAAAGCCUUCAUUUCUAGCAUCUAUGCUUUUGUUGCUCAGAACAUUUCUGGACUGUAUCCUCGUCCUAGACUCAUUACCAUCAUUAAAUGCACUCAACUCAAUGCUCUCUUCUGUUGAAACAAGAAAAACAAAAUAGAGCUGGGGAUGUAGCUCAAUGGUAGAGCACAACCCAGCAUGUUGUGGCUCUGGAUUCUAUCUCCAUCCCUGAAAAAAAAAAAAAAGACAACAAUAACAACAACAACAAAACAUAAAAAUGAAAAGAAAAAGUCCCAAAGCCCCAAUCUUAACCCUAAAUGCUGCUCUGGCCUCAUUUCUCCUUCCUUUCAUAGGUAAGUAUAAAAAGAUGCUCCAACACAUCGCAUGAAAAAAUGCUCAACAUCUCUAGCAAUUAGAGAACUGCAAAUUAAAACUACACUGAGAUUUCAUCUCACUCCAGUCAGAGUGGCAAUUAUCAAGGAUAUAAGCAACAAAAUGUUGGUGAGGAUGUGGGAAAAAGGCACACUCAUACAUUGCUGGUGGGACUGCAAAUUGGUGCAACCACUAUGGAGAACAGUAUGGAGAUUCCUCAGAAAACUUGGAAUGAAACCACCAUUUGACCCAGUCAUCCCACUCCAUGGCCUAUACCCAAAGGACGUAAAAUCAGCAUACUAUAGUGAUGUAGCCACAUCAAUGUUUAUAGCAGCGUAAUUCACAAUAGCUAAACUAUGGAACCAACCUAGGUGCCCUUCAACAGAUGAAUGGAUAAAGAAAAUGUGGCAUAUAUACACAAUGGAAUAUUGCUUAACCUUAAAGAAGAAUGAAGUUAUGGCAUUUGCUGGUAAAUGAACGGAAUUGGAGAAUAUUAUGCUAAGUGAAAUAAGUCAAUCCCAAAAAACAAAACGCAGAAUGUUUUCUCUGAUAUGCAGACGCUAACAGUAAGGAAGGCGGUAGGGAAAAAUAGAAGUAUUUGGAUUAGACAAAUGGGAAUGAGGAGAAGGGAGGGGAAAUGGGAACAGGUAAUGUAGUAGAAUGAAUUGUACCUUGCUAUCCUAUGUGUGCAUAUGAUCACACGACCAAUGUAAUUCUACAUCAUGUACAAUCAGAAGAAUGAGUUAUACUCUAUGAUUGUAUAUGUCAAAAUACAUCCUACUGUCCUGUAUAACCAAUAAGGACUAAUAAAAAAGAAAUAUUCUCCAUAUGUGCUUUCUCCAUUCUUUACAUUCCCCAAUUGACUUGUAACGUCCGUUGAGGUCACCAAGGACCCCAUGAACUCCACCUGUGCAGGCUGUUUAAUCGGUGGCUCUUUCUUCCUAGGUCCCUGGCCACAGCGAUUUCUGCCCAGGCCCAUUCUCUAUUUGUAUCUCACCUGCUUCCUCUCCCUUGACUUCCAUCUCGUAGCUCUCUGGGGUUUCUGUCUUCCUCUGACUUCUCCUUCCAGGGAACCUUCAUGGGUUCCUCUAUCAUUCCUUGACUCACAGGUGUCCCCCAGCAUCCUGUCCUCUGCUUUCUUUUCUCAUCAACUGCGGCUUGUACAAAAGUUUUGUUUAGAGAAAUCCGAAGCCCUGUGACAUAGUUUGUCAUUUGCCUAGACACGGGUGUGAUGUGUGGGCAUGAGGACCAUCUCUGAGGGGAAUGCAGCAAAGUAUCCACUAUUUUCUCCCUUUACAGCUCAGGACCCUGCUCAGGGUCCACAAUGCUACCCUCAGCUGGAUGCUUGCCAGAGCACAGCAAGAGGAUGGUAAGAGCUCUCUAAUGGGUCUCUGUCGUCCCAAUUGUAGCUCCUUCCUUUGCUCUUGAACCUGGUCAUGACCCAGAUUCCACCCCUUCAUCUUUCAUGACACAGCCCCCCUCCACUCAUGUUUUCAUGCUACUGCUCAGUUCCCUAUCUGCCUGCACUUCCUCCCCUCCCCACCCCUGCUCCACACAGUUGACCUUGGGAAGUCCUUCUCAUUCUGCAAGGCUUACCUCAAACAUCACUUUUGUGUCCCUUUCUAGAUUUCUAGAAAAAAAUUUUUAUCUCAUAUAUAUACUCCCAUGCCACCCACAUCCAAUUAGGUUGUACAUUCCUUUAGGGCAUAUAGAGGAAGACUCAAGAGCAAAGUUUCUGUCCCCAAGAAAGCUGAUCCAUGAAGCAAGUAUUCACUGUUUUCUCAUUUUAUAGCUUCCAUGAUGCUCCAAAAUCCAAAUUUUAAAAUGUCUGAUACUAACUUGCUGUGUGACUCUGUAUGUUUCACUUAAUGUCUCUGAGCUAUAAUUUUAUCAAACCAUAUUCUGGCAAAUAAUAUUCUCAUUCUAACUCAAAGAAAUAUAUAAAAUUCUUUGAGUGUUUGGCAAAAAGAUGCCAUAAACCAAAGACAAAAUACAUGAUCAUUCACUGAAGAUUCUAUGUAACAUUUUUUAUUGUCAGACAUUUUGUUCAGAUCCCAACAAAGUGUAACUGUUUCCAAAGAAAAAUGUGACCUCUAUGUAUCUUUAAAAUUUGAAGCCACUCAUAACAUAACAAAACUUUGCCACAUAAUUUUUUUUUCUUGUGCGUGAGAUAGUCACUCAUCUUUUUCUUCCCUUUGUUCCUAAUUUUUUUAAAAAAAACUGAAGAUUUGCCUUUUACUUCCUUUCCCUUUCUUUCCCCCCUAAAGGGAAAGCAUUUCAUGUCAGAGGCAGAAGUAGAUAAAAUUAUGUGCUAGAUCUUGAUCUAAAUUUCUCUUAAAUCACCAGCAGCACUGUCACAGCCUGAAGAAAAGAAAGUGAAGCAAUGAUGACGGAGGAGUUUGAAGAAAAAAAGAUGUAAAGACGAAUGCUGGCUAACUUCAUUUACUUCAUUGUUCUAAAUUUUAGGACUCAAAUUAAUUUCUAGAAUAUUUUGGUGAAAUGGGAAAAUGUAAAUGUGUGCCAGUGAAUAAUUGUAAAAGAAAAUAACACAAGGGGUGGAAUUUUCUAUCAGAAUCUCACAAAAGUGGGCACUUUUGUUUCCUAGGGAAAACAUCCAUGAAACUAGCUUCAUCCAUGGAGAGAGAGAGAGAGAGAGAGAGAGAGAGAGAGAGAGAGAGAGAGAGAGAGAGAAAGAGAGAGAGAGAGAGAAUAUAGAUUUACUGAUUGCAUACCUGUGCUAUGUGUUCAUCUAACUUACUUCAUUUAAUAGUUUAGUUCAAUAGCUCUAUGAAGCUUAUUUUUUGUGCAAAACCAGCUAGAGUUCACUGCAGUUAGUGGUAAGUAGAGUCAAAUGAGGAACCUAUGGUUUUCUGGCUUCAACACCAUACCACAUUGAUGUCUUAUCAUAUAGAAAAUAAGUGUCAUGGCCUUAUGCAAUUUAUAAUCCAGAAAAGAAAUCCAAAUGUCUCUGUAAGAUGCAGAGGUGGUGCCACAUAUUUUCCUUUAAAUACUAUAAAAUAACUCCAUGUAUACAGUUAUGAACAGUCAGCCACACUGUUGGGAGGACAUUGUUUUGUUUCCCCUGGGCGGUGAUGUAAAAAUGGAGAUGCUACUUUGCUAACUUUUUUUUUUUUUCCAGCAGACAGUGUAACAUGUCACACGGAUUCAACCUCUUCACUCGCUGUGCAAAUUUGGUAAGAUAUUUUAUUUAUCUUAGGCUCAGUUUCCAUUUGCAAAUAUGAGACAAUGAUCUUUUCCUUGUAGGCCUGCUCUAAGAACUUAAGAGUUACUUGGAUUGUGCGUAGUCCUCAAAAAAAGGGUGGUUGUGAUGGUUUGUGGCAGUCAUUAUUGACAUGUAUUUCCAUGCAUUUGGAGAACUUUGAUGGGAGAUCUGACUGUGACCCUUAAUGGGGCUUCUUCUAUAUUCACUGACCAAUGUUGCUUGUUAUGGUUUGGAUCUAGAAGUGUCCCCCAAAAGCUAUGUGCUAGGAAACAGAUCCGUGUUCAGAGGUGAAAAGAUUGGGGAAUGAGGCCUAUAACUUCAUCAGUGGAUUAAUCAACUUGAUGGAUUAGUGAUUUGAAUGAACUACAGGGUGAUAACUGUAGGCAGGUGGGAAUGGAAAGAAAUAGGUCACUGGGGGCGUGCCUUUAGGCACUAUAUCUUGUCCCUGGCUCUGCAUGCUCUCUCUCUCUCUCUCUCACUCUCUUUCUCUCUCUCCUUCCUGAGUGCCAUGAACUGAGCAGUUUUUGGCCUCUACCACCCACUUCCACCAUGAUGUUCUGCCUCACCUCAAACCCAGAACAAUGAAGAUGACUGACCAAGGGCUGAAUCUCUGAAACAGUAAGCCAAAAUGAUAUUUUUCCUUUUCUAAAUUGAUCUUUUGUUGUUGUUGUUGGUACUGGAAAUUAAAUUCAGGGGUGUUCAACCACUAAGCCACAUUCCUAUCCCUAUUUUGUAUUUUACUUAGAGACAGGGUCUCAAUGAGUUGUUUAGAGCCUCACUUUUGCUAAGGCUGGCUUUGAAUUUGUAAUCCUCCUGCCUCAGCCUUCUGAGUUGCUGAGAUUACAGGUGUGCACCAUGGUGCCUGAACUAAGAUGUUCUUGUCAGGUAUUUUGGUCACAGUAAUGUAAAGCUGACUAACAGAGUGCUGGGCCGCAUGAUGUGUGCACCAAAGUGCUAAGUAAUUGGGUAUGUAUAGAACAGAUAGCAGGGAGGGGAGAUAAUGGAAAGAAGGAACCAAGAGUUCUUCUAAAAGAACAGCUCGCCAUUGGUAUUUGCUGGCUCUGUAUCUGUAGAUUCAACCAACUGCAGACCAAAAAUAUUGAAAGAAAAAUUGUGUUUGACUGAACAUGUACAGAUUUUCCUUUUCAUUAUUCCCUAGACAAUGAAGUAUAACAACUAUUCACAUAACAUAUACAUUAUGUUAGAUAUUAUAAGUAAUCUGUGCAGAUUAUAUGCAAAUGCUGUUCCAUUUUACAUAAAGGACUUGAAUAUUGGGAUCCUGGAACCAAUCUACCUGAUACCAAGGAGCAAUGACCUUUGCAAAAUCAAGCCAAGGAAAUGGCAGGGAUCUAUGGAAAGGAAAUGGGAAGGGGCUGGCAUGAGACCUGAAUUGUUUUUUUUUUUUUUUUUUUUCUUCUCUUAAUUGAAUAAUUCCUGGACUACUGGUCACAGAAUUCUCCUUCUGGGGAAUUCUCUUUCAAAGAACUCGCCUUACAAACACAAAUUACAAAAUAAUGGCAUAUGUUUUCUCUCCCUUAUUUCAUUCUUUAAUGUAAUACCUUUAAAGAAGAAGCUGUUUCACGUAAACCUGAUUAACUCUGAAGAGAGUGAUAAUCCAUCCAAACCAAUCCAAAUGAAGGUAAAAGGAAUAAUCAGGCUUCCAUUAUGCAAAAUGGUGCUCAGUUAAUUUAGUACAUUGCGCUGAAUAAUAAGCUGUUAGGCUCCACAUGGCUUUUUUCACGUUAAAUCAAAUUGCUUAUUGCUGCUAGAGCUUAUUUCAUAUCGCAUAAAAUUUGGAUAUAUUAUAAUGGAGUAGAUAUUAGUCCAUUAUAAGAGACAGGUUUAAGUGCUUCAUUUAUAGAAUCCCUCCACUUGGAAAAUGGUAAGGGAGAAGAAGAAAUGCAAACAAGGUAAUGGACAGAGGGGAUUUAUGUACAUUGCUUGAUGGGCCAGCUCUGCCUCGGUGACUGUGGUUGCUGUGCACAGGACCCAGUGCGUUGGAGAAAAAUCAGCAUUUCUAGUGGAAAGAAAAUCCAAAGCGAAUUUAUGUUCUUUCUCAGGGAAGUGUUGACAUUUUAAUUACUUUCUGUUUUCUUUGGAGCUACAUUUGAGAAUUGGAAGCAAGUUAGAAAAAUAAGAAUUAGCUUUAUUAGAAAUAAGAGGAAUUGACAUGUAGACCCCAGUUGGAAAGGGUUGAGGCUGGGUUCUUGACAAUAUGAAGUCUGCAGCAGGACCCAGAAAGCCAAGAAAACUCAGCCGCUCGAAGCUAACUGGAAGAGUUCCUGCUUGGUCAGGGCUUAUCAUCCCGGAGAGCAGACUGUGCCUCUGUGUGCAAUCUAAUCUUUUCCGGAUGUGCUUCACUUUUUAAUGUUUUUUAUUUUUCCUUUAAACUUUCGUCUUUCUGUAAACAGGGGUUUGUGAGGGUAAGUAAGAUCGAGAUACAAAAAAAGAAAAUGGUCAGAGGGAGUUGGAAUGAGCUGGGGAAAUUGAUAGUCUUAGAAUUAAUUUGGAAGAUAAUAUAAUUGUCUUUUGAUAUUUCAUAAAAGAAAAAUAUCUGUGGAGGCGAGGGUGGAACGGAGUAAUUGGCUUUAGGAGAUAUGAUAUAUUUGCACUUUUCCUCCCUGCACCUGGAGUCGCCUGGAAUUGAUUAAAUAAGUAUUUAACAAACCAGGGCGCCUACAUGUAUGUUCCAGGAUCAGCAAUCUAAAAAUAGUAACUCAGCACAAGAUGGAAAUUAAAAACCCUCUAAUCAACAUCUUUGUGGUGCUUGAAAGGGUGGUAACCUGAGGGUGUCAGCCCUGCCUGCCCCUUGCCUGCCCCCUCCCCUCCCCUCCCCUCUUCUCUCUCUGCUCCCUCUACUGACAUUCGUUUGUCCCCCUUAUAUUAUUUUUCCCCUUCCCCUCACUUCCUCUUGUAUGUACUUUUGUAUAACUCUGAGGGUCUCCUUCCAUUUCCAUGCAUUUUCCCUUCUCUCUCCCUUUCCCUCCCACCUCUCAUCCCUGUUUAAUGUUAAUCUUCUUCUCAUGCUCUUCGGCCCUACUCUGUUCUUAGUUACUCUCCUUAUAUCAAAGAAGACAUUUGGCAUUUGUUUUUUAGGGAUUGGCUAGCUUCACUUAGCAUAAUCUGCUCUAAUGCCAUAAGCUGGAUUUUCUUGAUUCCAUUUCCUGAGGAAUUCUCAAACAUAUUCAUCAUCUUGUCCUUUGUAUUUCCUGUAAAAUUACAGUUAGAGUUGGAGAUUUUAUCUGAUUCUGGUUCCACGUUUUGGUAAUACUACUUCUUAAGUAGCGGUAUUUCCGUAAAUAGAAGUGUGUGUGUAUGUGUGUGUGUGUGUGUGUGUGUGAGAGAGAGAGAGAGAGCGAGAGAGAGAGAUUAUCAACUCUUAAAAAUUUUUAUAUGAAUCCAUUAAUUCAUUAGUUAUAAAAAUUGUUGAUAUCUUAAUUUUAUAAUUUUUUUUAAAAAAAUAUAUCUUAAUUUUAUAAUUUUUUUAAAAAACCUUUAUUUUCUAGAGCAGUUUUAGGUUCACAAGAAAUUGAAUGGAAUGUAAGUAACAUUCCCACAUAAUCCACUCCAUAUAAGCUCAUUAUCCCCCAUGACCAGCAUCACUCCCCAGAGUAGGGGCUUAUUUAUGAAAACCAAUAAACCUGUAUUGACCCAUGCUUACCACCCAGAGUUGAUAUUUUCAUUAAAGCUCACAAUUGUACAUUCUAUGUGUUUUGACAAAUAUAGAAUGAUACAUAUCCACAAAUGAUUUUCUUUUCAUUUAUUGAAUUUCCUCUAUGGGGAGAAACUUCACCCCUCAUUAACAUUUGGUUAGCUGAAGUAAAAGAAAUCCAGAUGAAUGUAUUCUCAUUAUUAUUAUUAUUUAUUCUAGCACAGUCACUAGCAGAGGAAGGGGAUACAAUACACACGUCUUCAUAAAUUGAAUUGUAUUUGAUUCAUAUUAGAAUUUGCUCCAAAGAACUUGUACAAGACAAAGGAGGACACCAUGGUAUUAACAGAGACUAGAACUUAAGUUCCAUGAAAAAGCUUAAAAAGAAUCAAAUCUCAGUAAAGGCUCUCAGUACUAAAGUGAACACGGAGGCACUAGUGAAUCACACAAUUCUGGUACGGCCCGUGGCCAAGUCUCAUCAAUAUUCACCAAAGUAUUCUUUCCCCAACACAGGGAAAGAAAGAAAGAAAGAAAAGAGGGACAAUUUCUGAAUCACUCCCUCCAACCACGGAAAUGAUUUUAAUUACCAAUUCAUCUGUUGGCAGACUCUUCUGGCAGAUGUACCUGCAAGUUGGAAAGAUAACAAAUGAACCAAUUCCUUACUCCAGAGUUGACACUGAUAGUUCGGACUGAAUUUGCUCUCAGAAAAGAAUCCUGGGCAACAAUACAUCUGGCACUCUGCUCGAGGAAUUUGUCAUGUCGUUGACAUGUUCAGCCUCCAUUGUCCAUACCACCCCGGCAGCAGGUCCUUUAUGUUUCAGUGAAAUUGCAGUCUGAAUUAAUAUAAUUAGAAUGUAACUGCUAUUCACUGCACACACACUCCUUAUUUCCAGGAGUACAGAUCUGAUAGCAUGUCUGUGCUCAAAAUCUUUCCAUGAUGGCUGAAGGGGAGCAAGCAGAGAGGGGAAUGAUAGAACACUCACUAGUUCAUCAACCGUAUGAGCUAAUGGAAAUAUAGGAGGAGAGAAAGAAAGUCCUGACCUUGGCAUGUCUAAAGAUAAAUAUCUGUCAAGUUUCCUAGCCUGGAUAGCACUGUUAUAAAAUAUGUACUAUAGUCCGUCUGAAUUGAGAGAAAGAAGUGAACUAGGAAAGACCAGUUAUCUUCCAAAAGACAAUUAUAGUAAGUAGAGUGGAUAAUUCAGGGAUAGAAUUACAGAGUGAAGAGGUGGAUGGACAACUUCCUUCUUUCUUUCAUGUUUUGCUUUGCGCAGUGGAUGUCGCUCACCAAGCAACUGUCAUCAAGUGAAUAAUGAUUUUUUUUUUUACUAGAAUCUUGAAUUUCAGCCUUCAUUAAUUUUCUGUUCUUACAAAUUCUUGAUAUGGUAGAAAAGGACAUCAACAACUUUUUUUUUUUUAAAUAAGAUGGACUCACAUUUUCUUAAUUGAGUUUGAGUUUUCACUUGGAUGAUCCAUUGGAGGGGAGCACUGCCCUGACAUUAUCAGUAUGUUGGCUGGAGUUCAUGGUUUUGGCCUCUUUUCUUCUCUGGAGAACUGUGAAACUUGUGUACUGGAUGCUGUGUUCCUCCAAAUUCUACAUGGAAUCCCUAACCUCCUGUAUGAUGGUAUUUGGAGGUAGGGACCUUGGGGAAACCAUUGGAUUUGAAUGAGGCCAUGAGGAUAGGCCCCCAUGAUGAAAUGUGUGUCCUUAUAAGAAGAGGAAAAAGAGAUCAGAUUGCUAUCUCUGUCCCCCUCCACCAAAUGAGAAUACAGCUAGAAUGCAACUGUCUGCAAUCCAGGAAGACAGACCUAACAAAGGACAUCAACUGACUUGUACCUUGAUCUAGGAUUUCCCUGCCUUAAAUACUGUGAGAAAUAAUUAUCUGUUGCUUAAGUUACCACCCGAUCUGUACUAUUUUGUUAUGAUGGCCUGAGCUAAGACAGUGCAUGGUAUAAUUUGAGCAUGUGCCCUAAAGGUUCAAGUGUUGAAGGAUUGGCCUUCAAAGUGGUAGCAUUGAGGUGGUAGAAAUCUUUUAGAUGUAAGUCUCAGUGCAAGGUGAUUAGGGCUGAGGGAGGCAUUGUCCUUGGAAAGGAUUAAUGCUGGUUUUACAGAGUAGUCAGUUUUUGAGAGGGUGAGUUGUUAUACAAAGAGCAAACCUGGAACCUGAAUCCCUCUUGCUUUCUGUCUCACUAUGUGAUAUCUUCCAUAUACUCUCCUGCAAUUGUUAGCAUCUUGAAAACAUCAACAAUGAUUCCUUGCCUUCGUGCUAUCCUGUGAAGCAUUAACCUUCUCUCCCUAAAUUUGAAGGAACUGUCCACCAUUUUACAUUAACAAGCCUAGGGGUUUUCAGAAUUAAGUGUGUUUCGGAAUCAUAUGUGGUGGCUGGGGGCAUUGGAAGAGGAUUUAUUAAAAUGCCAAUGCCUGAAUUCCUUCUGGAUCCACAGAAUCAGAGUUCUCAGCUGUGGUGCCCAAAUAAUGUGAGUUGAAAUCCACUCCAACUGCUUUGAACUUGACACCUCUAGGCUGAUAUUCUCUUUCACAGAUACAAUAUUCAAAAUUACUAUACUAGCAGAUAUUUCUAUAGAUGAUAAGCAUCAUUUCCAAAAACAAAUAUAUUUAAUUUAUAUAAGUGGAGGUAUGUUUAAGACAUUUUGAGAGGGGCCUAUCAGAAUACUUGUGGGGCUACUGUGACCCUCUCCAGUGUAUACAUUCUUUUUCUCCUUUGUUAACAGCAUGCUUAGUUUCCCAGUCUGACUGUUCACUCUGGGUUAGAUAGAAAAUUUGACAUCUCACAUUUUCAGGCAAUUUACUUUGCAAAUUAACACAAUAGAGAUUUAUAUUUUAAUGUUGAAAUCCUUUAAUAAAGUAAAUAAUUGUCUCUCUUUCCAGAAUAUUUGUCUUAUUACUCUGGAUGCUUAAUAAUAGGAUUAUGUGUUAUAAACAUGUGUUUAGGCAUCCAAAUAUAUGCACAAAUGGAAAAUAUCAAGCUUACAUUCCCCAAAAGUGGACACUCAUGAGGUCUUGCCUUUGUUUUCUCUAAGGACUAUCCAAAUCAGAGUUCAAUGAAGGAAGUUUACAGAAAUCUUGUCCCUAGUCUCCUAGUUUCCACCCACAGCAGGCUCUGUUUAGUGGCCUUCAGAGAAUUCUCAUGGGGGUGGAUAGGAAGUGGAUUGGGCAUGGACUUGAGCUCCUAUCUGCUGUUUGACCAAUGGAUUUUUGGAUAGACUUGUCAUGCAAAAAAUAGCUUGAUUUAUUCCCGUGUGGUAGUAGAGACAGACUCCCAGGACCCGGAUGCCCCUUAACACCCCAGAGGACAUUAUUCUGAAUAACUCAGUAAACUGAUUAGUAGAGCUACUAGGCAUGAUAAGUAUAUUCCAAAAAAAGAUCUUUUUCCAAUUACAAAAGUAGUGCAUACUCCUUGAAAAGAAUACUAGAGGGGAAGGGAGAAAUGUAGGAAAGAUAAGAAGGGAGAAAGUCCAAGCGAAGUGCUGACUUGACAGUCGAAGCCCUGUGGACUAGAACCCAGCCUUCCUUGUCGUCUGCUUUUGGGUAAGUUACACCACACGUCUGAGCAUCCUUCUCAUCUGUGAAAUGGGAACCACGUCUCUCGCAGAGUCAGGGUUUGUUAAAGCACACUCUGAGGAAGGGUUUAGUGAAAUGACUGGAGUGGAGGGAGCAGCUGUAACACUAUAUACCAGAGAGAACAGUGUUGUCAAGGCUGGUAGCAAUGGGUGGUGGUUACUGAGUAUGUCCUUACUGGGCAAGCAGACUUGACUUUGAACCCCUUUUGCUUGUCGGCAGAGUUAUUGCUAUUGGUAUUCCUAGUGUUCUAGUCAGCUUUUUCAUUGCUGUGGCUAAAAGAACUGAACAGAACAGUUUUAGGGGAAGAAAAGUUUAUGUGGGGGCUCACAGUUUCAGAGAUCUCAGUCCAUGGGCAGGAGGCUUCAUUCCUCAGGGCUCAGGGUGAGGCUGAACAUCAUGGCAGAGAGUGUGGUAGAGGAAAGUGGCUCACAUGAUGAUCAGAAAGCAGAUAAAGACUCCACUCUCCAGAUACAAAUUAGAUACCCCAUAGCUCUGCCUGCAAUGAACCACUUCCUCCAGCCACACCCCACUGUCUCAGUUUCCCACUCAAUUAAUCCCAUCAGGGAUUAAUUAGUUUACUGCUUAGGUUAAGGCUAUAACCCAAUGGUUUUGUCCUCUAAACCUUCUUGCAUUGUGUAAUGUAAGUUUUUGGGGGGAUACCACAUCUAAACCAUAUCACAUAGCAUUAAAUCUGUAUCUUUUUUUUUUUUUUUUUUGUACCAGGGGUGCUUAACCACGGAGUGACUUCCCCAGCUCUUUUUAUCUUUUGUUUUGAGACAGGGGUCUCUCUAAGUUGCUAGAGUCUCACUAAGUUCUCACUUGCAAUCCUCCUGACUCAUCCUACCGAGCUGCUGAGUGUAUCACAUUUUUUAAAGAAAUUUUUGAGCUCUCUUAAUAUUAUGAUUAUCAAAAAUAGAUUUCAAUUACGUCUGUUUUCACGAUGUAUUAACUGAAAUCUCCUAAUCCUUGCCGUAACCUUACAAGCAUUUUUCUUAGUUUGUGAGAAUGAUUAAAAAAUAAAAAAUAAAACCCUCAGAAACAAUUAAUGUUCCUAAGAAAGUAAAAAAAAAAAAUCUUUGCAGUAAUGUUUCAUUUUAUCGUCAUAUUUUUCCUGAGAAACCAAUGAAGAAUGGCAGUUUUAUAUGUAAAACAGUAGUUAGCCUUUAUACAGCUGACAUUUUUCUAAAAGCCUAGAAAUAUUUCACAUUUGAAGAAAAACACCCGGUUCCCAUGUUGGAUCCGAUUAAAAUUCAAAUCUAUAUUAACAUCUCAUUACUGUUUGAAAAAGCCAACUGCACACUAAUGGAAAAUGCCCAGUGUCUGCCAGCCCUGCUUUCCCCUGGUUCUUUAGCAAGGCUGUCCUGGGACCUGGGAGGGCGGGGCCACAGUUACAUCCUUGUUAAAACAGCAGCCUGAAUGCUGGCCCUCAGUUUUGGUUUUUCCUUCCUUUUCCCUCUUCCAUCCCUGCAUUGUUUCAGCUGCCAGUCUUGCAGUAUUUUCUUUCAUGCAAGGGAAAAGGAAGGGCAAAAAUGACUUUGAAAGAAUAACAUUUCUUUCUAUGCACUUAAAUAGAACACUCAACACAGAACAUCCUGUGUUUCCUUUUAAUGGAUGACACGCUGACUUGGUGGUGAGCUGACUAAACACCAGGGCUUGACGUUCAGAUAGGUGUUCUUGCAGUCGCACUUACCCGCUGGAGAACAUUCUGCUCGGCUAUUUUAAGUGACAAUCUGUCUUUUUCCAGGCACUCUGGUUCUUCUUAUCCCCCGAUGACUUUUCUCUGUUAUACUUAUCACCUUCUGACGUGUGUUUAUUAUGGUUUUUGUUUAUUCUCUGACUUCCCUGGUCAUAGGUAAAUAUUACAGGAGCAAGCAUCUCUGUUUUGCUAGCUGUUGGAUUCCCUCUUCUAAAAACAGGACCAGGCCCAAAGUAGGCACUUAAUAAAUAUUUGCAGCUGCAACAAAUAAACUAGUUCCUACCUCAGUGUUCUCUCCUGAACAAUUGGGGGAAAAUAAUAGAUAAAAAAUAUGUUAUGAACACAUUCUAUAAAUAUAUUUAAGCCUAGUAGAUACAUUGGAGAUUACAGGUCUAUUUGGAGUGUAGUUGAAUAAGAAAUAAAUGAGUUGGAUGAAAGAGCAACAUUCCCUUGUCACUCUGUUCUCCUACUCGGCUUUAUUUUUCUUCCAACACUGAGUCCCCACAUUCAGUAUAAUACAUAGUUCUUUGUUUUUGUCUGCCUCUCCUUAGUAAAAUGUUAAGUUUUUUUUUUUUUUUUUUUUGUAUGGGGGUGGGUACCAGGGAUUGAACUCAGGGGCACUCGACCACUGAGCCACAUCCCCAGCCCUAUUUUGUAUUUUUUUAGAGACAGGGAAUCACUGAGUUGCUUAGCACCUCUGUUUUGCUGAGGUUGGCUUUGAACUCUCAAUCCUCCUACCUCAGCCUCCAGAGCCACGGGGAUUAUAGGCAUGCGCCACAACACCCGGCCAAAUGUUAAGUUUUAUAAGGGCAGGAUCUUGGGUGUUUUGUUUCCCAUUGCUUAGGCCAGUGUGUGACACAGAGCAAGCACCAAAGACACAAAUAUGCAAAUGUUUCCGUGAGUGUAUUCACUCCGGACUGUAUCUACCCCUGACCCUGACUCGAUCAGGAUUUGUGGUGUGAUUGGUCACUAAGAUCUAGGUACUGCUGAGGCAAAUGAUGGAUGGGGAGAUGAGAAAGGAAACAAGAUGAUCAAGAUGAUACUGAUAUUUUAAGUAUUUCAAUCACAGGGACAACUAUGGGUAUGGUGGGAGAACAGACAGGACCUGGCACUUAGUAGCUGGUCAGUAACGGUUAGCUAUCAUCACCAUCAUUAUCAUAAACCACAUUAGCAUCCAGGUGUUGGCACAUUAGAGCUUAUGGGCCAAAUCCAGCCUGUGGCCUAUUCUUAUAAAUAAAGUUUUAUUGAACAUAGCUCAUUCAUUUAUUUUCUAUGAAUGUUUUCAUGUCUAUGGCUAUUUUCAUUCUAAAACAGCAGAAUUGAGUAGCUACAGAGACUGUAUGGGUUGCAAAACCCAAAAUAUUUAGCAUCUGGCCCUUUACAGAAAAGGUACUUGAACACUCAUCUAGAAUAUUGGUCUGUCUCCAAUAUAACUAAGCCUAGAGCCAAUCAGGCAUGGUCCAUGGAUAAGUUUGAUCCUCAUUCUGAAAUGGGAGUACAGAAACUAAGUAUUUACAAACUUCUAUAACAAUUUGUCAUUGAAAACCCAGUGAAUGAUUUUGGUUUAUACAAAAAUGUUGCUUUAUGACAGUUUGGAAAUUGAAAAGGAUCUGCCCUUUCCUAGAGGGAUGGGUCUGUUUUGUAAUGGGAUGUUGAUCAUAUCAGUAACUUUAGUAAGUUAUGUUCAUGUUGGUUUUAGAUGAAAACAUCUGGAAGCACAUCAGGUGGGAGUGACAAGCGUGUCUUAAGAUUGCAAGUGACCUGGGAAGGUUGAUGAACAAGCACAUUAAUAACAUCGUGAAAAUGGAUUUUCUAUGUAGAUGAAUGGCUCAGCCAGCCACAGUUCACUUACCAGCUAAUAUAGUUGUAAUGUGUUGCUUGGUAUGGAGAGAAGGCAGUCACUUUAGGGUGUUUGGGAUGUUUCAUGCACAUAUAUAAAUAAAUUCUCUUUUGGUAAGAACGUUUUAAGUUGAUAUAUCAUCUUCUUUGAAUAGCAAGUCAUCAAUUUUCCUGGAAAUCUGGUGAAACAACAGUUAUAUGACCAGCCUUAUGUUUUGUUGCAUGUGCAUGUAAACAAAAAAAGAAAGAAACAAAAGAAAAAGCCGACUGACUUUUUCCUUUUCUGUUUUAGAAUCGGUUCCAAACAGUCAAGCCUGCCAGAAAAAACAGACAAACUCUCAAGAACAACAAUGCCUAUUAUGUGUGGUGGAGGAGCCGCCAGAUUUUGAUUACCGGACAGACAUUAACUCCUUUGGUGUCUCAUGCAAGAAAUGCCAAGUCUGAAUCCAGAUAUUUUCCAGAAUAGCAUGAGAUCUGCAAUUUACAGUGUCUUCUGCAAAAAAAAAAAAAAAAAGCAACUGAGAGAAGGAAGUGCAAGUUAAAGACCACAUCUCCUGGUUUCUCGAAUUCUGCCAUGACUCUUCCUGGUAAAUGGACAGACUGAGUACCUGUGCUCUUCCUUUUGCAGGCCUUAGGUUGUGGGCCAGAAGCACGUUACUCUACCCACCUGUCCCACCUGUGUUGUCUUGAUGUCUAAAGGACUGUCACAUUCUGCCCUCAUUGAGAAAAUGCAUGGGUUCCUGGAGGCUACCUCUUACAGUAAAACUUUGAGAAAGAAGAAUCCUUGCAAACUCUGUGAUCAGCAUCUCCCCCCCCCCACCCCAAUAGACUCCCUGAAGGCUGUCAGACUCCAUCCUGCUUUGAGAUCUCAGAUAAAGCAGAGAGCAAUGCGAUUUUCAGAGGGAGGAUGAUAAUAUAAGUAUUUAGACCAUCGUGUGUAUGUAUAUCCUAUGUGUGUAUAAAUACUAUA